CAUAAUUCAGUUGUAGAGUCCAAGAAAGAGAAAAAGAAGAGAGAACUUAAUUUCUCUCUCUUUUUUCCCUUUUCUUGAGGACCUCCCUUCCUUUUUUUCUUGUUUUUUGUCGCUCCUUCUGAAAGAAAAACAAUAAAGAAAUACUAAUCAAUCAAUAAUACCAAAGCCAUGGCNGAAAGUCGUCCACUUCCGAAGUUUGGUGAGUGGGAUGUCAAUGACCCAGCUUCAGCUGAGAGGUUCUCUGUCAUCUUUAACAAAGCUCGAAAUGAGAAGAAGACAGGCAAGAUAGACUCACCACCAAAGAAAAACUACAAGCAUACAGCAACUCUUGGAAAGCCUCAAUCUAAGAAAUGGUUCUGCUGUUUGCGGUCCGGUGCUGCCGAUUGAUGAACUCUGUUUGCUAAUAGACACUGCAAUGGGAAGUAUAACUUUUUUGAAUACCAUAUGCUAAUAUAGUGUUCCAGAAGACUGGACCUGUAGUCAAGCUGUGAUGGAUCCUGCUGGAAUAAAAUUCAAUUGUUUAUACUAACUCAGAUUAUAGCUUUUUGCUACUAAAAUAUAUUGCAUUAUCUAUGUGUUUAAUUUUUUCUAGCCUUGAGUUUUCUACUGUUAAUAUUAGUUUACAAGUUUAUCACUGACAAUUGAGGAUUGCUCAGUUGGUAAAGCACCCCCACCC